GCUGUGUCUCACCAUGCCUUCCCCCAUGAUGCUCUGCUUCACCACAGCCCAGAAUCAGAUGGCCAUGGACUGGAAAUCUCUGAAACAGUGAGAAUCUGAAGUCUGUUGGAGAAGUGAGACCUCUUGCUCAGGAUUUCACAGGAACUUUGAAGGAGAACAGCUGUUGUUCCAUAUUCCUGCUGCCAUGGUAUUUUGCCUCAAUUAAGCCAAGGACCUUGAAUUGAACUGAACACUCUGGAACUGU